rnacentral:rRNA from 1 species
AGAGUUUGAUCAUGGCUCAGGAUGAACGCUAGCGGCAGGCUUAAUACAUGCAAGUCGAGGGGCAGCACGGGUAGCAAUACCUGGUGGCGACCGGCAAACGGGUGCGGAACACGUACGCAACCUUCCCAUAACUGGUGAAUAGCCCUCCGAAAGGAGGAUUAAUACACCGUAACAUAAUGAAGUGGCAUCACUUUAUUAUUAUAGGCUUCGGCCGGUUUUGGAUGGGCGUGCGCCUGAUUAGGUAGUUGGCGGGGUAACGGCCCACCAAGCCUGCGAUCAGUAACUGGUGUGAGAGCACGACCAGUCACACGGGCACUGAGACACGGGCCCGACUCCUACGGGAGGCAGCAGUAAGGAAUAUUGGUCAAUGGACGAAAGUCUGAACCAGCCAUGCCGCGUGAAGGAUUAAGGCCCUCUGGGUUGUAAACUUCUUUUAUCUGGGACGAAAAAAGGGUAUUCUUACUCACUUGACGGUACCAGAGGAAUAAGCACCGGCUAACUCCGUGCCAGCAGCCGCGGUAAUACGGAGGGUGCAAGCGUUAUCCGGAUUUACUGGGUUUAAAGGGUGCGUAGGUGGAUUUGUAAGUCAGUGGUGAAAUCUCCGAGCUUAACUCGGAAACUGCCAUUGAUACUAUAAGUCUUGAAUUAUCUGGAGGUGAGCGGAAUAUGUCAUGUAGCGGUGAAAUGCUUAGAUAUGACAUAGAACACCAAUUGCGAAGGCAGCUCACUACGGAUAUAUUGACACUGAGGCACGAAAGCGUGGGGAUCAAACAGGAUUAGAUACCCUAGUAGUCC